UACGUAGGGUGCAAGCGUUGUUCGGAAUUACUGGGCGUAAAGGGCUCGUAGGCGGCCAACUAAGUCGGAUGUGAAAUCCCCAGGCUUAACCUGGGAACUGCAUCCGAUACUGGAUGGCUUGAAUCCGGGAGAGGGAUGCAGAAUUCCAGGUGUAGCGGUGAAAUGCGUAGAUAUCUGGAGGAAUACCGGUGGCGAAGGCGGCAUCCUGGACCGGCAUUGACGCUGAUGAGCGAAAGCCAGGGGAGCAAACGGG
rnacentral:rRNA from 1 species